CCUACGGGAGGCAGCAGUGGGGAAUAUUGGGCAAUGGGCGCAAGCCUGACCCAGCAACGCCGCGUGAAGCAAGAAGGCUUUCGGGUUGUAAACUUCUUUUGUCAGGGAAGAGUAGAAGACGGUACCUGACGCAUCAGCCACGGCUAACUACGUGCCAGCAGCCGCGGUAAUACGUAGGUGGCAAGCGUUGUCCGGAUUUACUGGGUGUAAAGGGCGUGUAGCCGGGUUGACAAGUCAGAUGUGAAAUCCUGCGGCUUAACCGCAGAACUGCAUUUGAAACUGUUGAUCUUGAGUACUGGAGAGGCAGAUGGAAUUCCUAGUGUAGCGGUGAAAUGCGUAGAUAUUAGGAGGAACACCAGUGGCGAAGGCGGUCUGCUGGACAGCAACUGACGGUGAGGCGCGAAAGCGUGGGGAGCAAACAGGAUUAGAUACCCCAGUAGUC
rnacentral:rRNA from 1 species